CCCCUGCUUGCUGCUCCGCCAUAUUACCAAAAGCGUAGUUCAAUCGUCAGUGGAGGUGUUCGGCAAUGCGCAUGCGCCUGGCGUGCAGUGGAUGAUGGGAAGUGUAGUCCAGCCGUAGCCGCUGGCCGGAAAGACUCUAAUUCUCCCAGAAUACUUUAUGAACACCGUAGUUAACCACCUGAGAAUAACCGAGUUCUGCUUUGGACAAAACAUAUCUCCCAUGGUGACAUUGGGAAGGUUUGGUGUACAUGUCCUGUCUUGUAUAUUUACGCUUCUCAUAAAUUCAUGAUGUCAAGAAAACAUUCAAAGCACAAGCGAGAGAAGACCAAGUCUUCGUCAAAGAAAACAAAGUCAGAACGCAGCAGUCAUGAUGAAGGAAAGAACAAGACUGAGCUGUUAUCACACUGCAAAGGAGGAAACCUAUCACCGCAGCAAUCAUCCUUAUCCUGUCAAAUGGGGAAAAAAAGAAAACUGUUCCAUCAGGAGUUGGAUGGUCCCACAAGUCUCAGACUGUCGAUGGAAGAACAGUCUCAAUCUUCCUGGUCUAG